rnacentral:lncRNA from 1 species
GGCUGACACAAGACCAGGGCUGAUGGAUGCCUUGAUUGUGCACCGUGGACAUUGGACGGGUUGAUGAUAACAUCAAACAGGUUGAGGAUGAUGGAUCAUGUCAAGCAGGCUUGACCCUUGAGCAGAUGGAGAGCAUCCGACUGCUUGGCGGCAUCUGAUUACAUGCAUCUUUAGGACGGGUACUUGCUGGCCCAUCAGAUCAUCUGCAUGGGCUUAUUCAAGAUGUGAAAAUCUGUUCACAAGCUGCUUCAGCACUCUGGAGCUUCAUCACAAGAGCUUUCGAGGUGUGGAUGUGCUAACCAGGAGAAUUCGCAAGGCAUGUGCAGUGCACUCUCGAUGCGAGAUGGCCGCUCGGGUGCCUGGAGCUAUGUCACUUGGAGAAACCAAUCGGCGCACGCGGUUGUCUGAUCGUCUUGCUGCCGAGAGGGCUCAUCACGGCACCCCAUGGCGGCCACAAUAUCUACGUUAUGCAGCAUGUUGGUGCGAUCUCCGAGGUUACGCUCAGCAGACGCCGCUACGUGCAGCUGGCAUGUCCAGACCAAAAGUGCAAACAUAAAAUACUUUUU